AGGUGCACCCCCGAGUCCCUGGGUGGGACCUUAAUCCUCAUGGUGGUGGUGUUAGACAGGGGGCCUUGGGGGUGAUUAGGUCGUGAAAUAGGGUUCUCAUGAAUGGAACCAGUCCCUCUGCACAGGGCUGAAGCGGCUGGAGUUCUCCUCCUUCUGCCGUGUGUCACAGACACCAAGAAAAGACAGCACCUGUGUGCCAGGAGGGGGCGCUCGCCAGGCCCUGAACCUGCCAGCACCCAGUCUUGGACCUCAGCCUCCGGAGCUGUGAGAACCUGAGUGUACUGUUCAACAGGCACCCAGCUUGUGCUUUUCUGCUGAAGUGUCCCAAGCACAUGGGGACACGCCAAGGGACGGCCAGAGGGGAGGGACGGAGGGGCCCUCUGCGCCUGGGGAGGAAGCAUCAGGGAGUGGACCCUGGUCCUUCCCCGUGGUGCUGCUGAGGCUCGGGGCAAGAGGAGAGGCUCCUGGCCUGAGCUCGGGCAGGCGGGCUCAGAAGGGAAGUGAGAAGGUUUGUACAGCUUUAUGAUGCCAGCCAAGAUGAUUUCCUCCUUUGACCUUUGCCUGUUCAAACUGCUGUCUCGGAAGCCGCUGAAUGUGCUGUUAGAGAGGCGGGCGUCCCCCUUCAGAGUUCCUGGGCUCCAGUCCCAGCUGCAGAUCCUGACUCCGGCUUCUUGCUAAUGCAGACUUUGGAAGACAGCAGUGGUGGCUCAAGCAAUGGGGUUCCUGCCACCCACUUGGGAGACCUGGACUAAGUUCCCCGCUCCUGGCUUUGGCGCCACCCCAUCCCUGGCUGUUGCAGGCAUUUGCAGAGUGAACCAGUGGUUGGGAGUCUCUCUCUCUCUCUCUCUCUCUCUCUCUCUCUCUCUCCUUUUCCCUCUCCCUCUCCCCCUCUCAAAUCAACCAUAACAAUGUCCCAUUCUAUUCAGUGUUUUCUGAAGGCCAUCAAUGAGAUAUUGAAAGGAGCUCCUGACAAUUCCUCUCUCCUGGAAAUACCUUAUGUUCAUUUUAUACCUGCAGAGACUCAGAUGUGGUCUGUCCAUAGCUCCCAUGAGAUGCACAAGGGGCGUGGUGACAGAGCUGCAAUGUGUGGGUGUGCAAGUGACCGAGCCUGGACUUCCGAGUAGGUAGGGCCACAGCACUCCACCUACCAGCUGUCCUGGGGGAGUUGCGUGUCUCUGAACCUCAGCUGACUCAUCACGGCUGCCUCAGACGCUGAGCGUGGAGAUUGAGACCAUAGGAGGGGACUUCAAAAAGUUCAUGGAAAAACAGGAUUAAAAGAUAAGCUCGUUUGGGUGCAAAAAUUUUUGAAAUCCAUACAAAGUGUUUUACAAAAAAACACUGUUUCCAUGAAUUUUUUGAAGAUCCCCUAUAGUAUGUGUGUGUGUGUCUAUGUGUGCAUCUGUCCCCAUGUGUCUGUGUGUGUCUGUAUGUGUGUCUGUGUAUCUGUGUGCCUGUGUAUGUGUCUAUGUAUGUCUAUGUGUGUAUUUGUGUGUGUGUCUGUGUCUGUGUGUGUGCCUGUGUCUGUGUGUGUGCCUAUGUAUGUGUCUGUGUGUGUCUGUUGUGUCUGUGUGUGUGUGUGUAAUUCAAGAGCGACCCAGACACCUUAUGGCCCUAACCGUGUGAUUCCAACUCCCUUCCAAGAAGUAUCACACCCCUCAGGAAUGCUGCUUGUAGUAGAUCUCUAGCAGGCCAACUUACUCAAUCUUGAGAGUAUUUGGCCAAGGUCAGAUUUGAGGGGAUUGGGGUAGGAAGAAGGAAUGAACCCCACUCAGUCUGCUAAGGACACUGCAGACAUAGCUCCCGCUUCUUGUUGCCAAGUGGUAGUAGCCAUGAAGCUGACCACCGCAUUUUCGCCCUUCGUCUUCUCUUUUCCCCAACUGGUUGAACAUCGCCAGAAAGAAGAAUGCGCGGGCCCAGCCCUUGCCCAGCACAGACCACAAGUCUGCACAGGCUGAGUCCCUGGGAGUGCCCAGUAGACAGAGGGAAAUCGUGCACAAACUCUUAACUCACAGCCCCCAGCGCAGAGCAGCCGGACUAUUUAGCCAUAGAAAUCAAUAACGCCCCCCUGCCCAAUCUGGCAAAUGAGAGCUGUGCCCCACAUGCUCAUCUCCCAUUAAUCCUGUUUGACCAACAGAGCUGAGGCCACGGGCACUCCCAGGAAGGCUGGCCUCCAACCCUUGUAGGGCGGAGGCACACCUCCCCCUAAAGGUUAACGAGACGAUUAUGUUUCUGGUUAAAGAUGAGAGCAGACAAGGGCACCGGGUUCAUUAUGUCGUUUAGAAUACAGAGCAGCUAACCAGAGGAGAGGGGUGUGGAACAGAAUCAGCAGAGUUAACAGACUCAUUCUGGGAGCAGGGGAGUGGAAUUUCUUUUUUUUUUUUUCCUGCUUCCGUCUUCAGAUCCUCCUUAUGCUCACAGGUGGUCGGUCGUGCUCAUUCCCUGUUCUGUAUCCGUGUGCCCAGAGGCAGGAGGUCGGAGCAAUGACACGAGAGCAUCACCAGCUGGCCCACGGGGAAGCCCAGCCCCUGGAUCGCAGGAGAGUUUGGGCUGCCGUGAGAUAGGCCAGCUUCCAGAUCUGGUCUUCAGCGGGGAGAGUCACGUUCUUUCCUGUCCACGUGUCCAUGAAUUUUUCUCUAGGAAUCUGCCCCUGGAGGGCUUACCUUCGCGUGAAGAAACACGCAGAUGCCUGAAACCAGGUAGGGCAUGCUUAGAGUAGGAUGGAGCCACGGGAGCAUCGUGUCUAACCUUGGGCUUCCAGGUGACUUCCCGAGGUAAGUGAUGCUUCAAAGGCUGCGUGUAGGAUUGGCAGGAGACAAAAGGCACGUGGGAGGCGGUGAGGUUAGGGAAGGAGGGUAGAGCCUGAGAAGUCAGCUAUGCAAAGGCCUCUCUCUGCAGGGCUUGGCUCACUCUUGCCUGUAGACAACAGGUCUUUAUCAGAGGAGCCCAGGAGGGACUGACUGCAAGAGACUUGAUGCAAUGUUGUGCAAUGACCUGAAGGAAAAUGAGCAGUGAGUUUCAAAACUUCAACCAGAGAAUUAAUUGAAACCUGGCUUGCUACAAAAUGAAUGCGUGGAUAUGAAUUGAAGCCUUGCCCACAUAGCCAAUGAUUCUCCAUGUCAAUCACUGAAUAAUCCACCUUUGCCUUUUGACUUCCUGAAGACCCAUGUCUGCAUGGAUUUCAAGAUUUCUUUGCACCAGGAUACGCUUCCCUUGUAACUACAUUUUCCACAAACUCUCUGCAGUGCUCUGGUGGAUAUACAGUUUUAAGAUUACGAAUGAUUUCUGUUCAUUUGGAAAGAGUAACCAAGUUUAUUAUGUCCUGUUCCAUCGCAUUGUGCUCUAAAGCACUGUCAGAAAACUAUAGCCAAGUGUGGCCCCUUGACUCUUUUUGUAAAUAAAGAUUUAUUGGUACAUAAUCACAAUCCUUUGUUUGCAUUCCAGUUUUAAUUGCUUUAUGCCACAGUGGUAGAGUCGGGUAGUUGUGGCAUAGACUACAUAGCCACAAAGUCCAAAAAGUUAACUUGCUAUAAAACAAGUUUGCUACCAUAUGUUCUAAGGCAAAGUAAUUCUCUCUCUCUCUCUCCACCUCAAUCUGUAAAUACAUACAGCUUUUUUAAAAAUCCAUAGAAAAAUGAAAAAGGAGUAAAAGAUGAAAUAGAUUUUGUCAAUUCAGAAAAAUUUUGUUACCACUGGAGUUCAAAGGAAUACAAAUUAAAGCCUUGACACGCCAUUUAUAUUUUAUCAUGCUAGAAAAGACCUUAAGGAGUUUCUUUCUCAUGGCGUGGAAACAUAGGGCUUCAGUGAAAAUGUGGGGAUCUAAAUUGGUACAAGCCUUUGGGGAAACUGGUAUUCUAUAUUGGAAGCCUUAACAUUUUAUUUUAUUUUAUUUAU